CUAAACGGCCACCAACUACAUUCUUUUUGUUCAUGGAGGACUUUAGGAAAACAUAUAAGGAAGCAAAUCCAGACAAUAAGAAAGUUUCAUUGGUUGCUAAGGAGGGUGGUGAAAAAUGGAAGUCAAUGACUGAAGAAG